rnacentral:rRNA from 1 species
UGCCAGCCGCCGCGGUAAUACGUAGGGGGCGAGCGUUGUCCGGAUUUAUUGGGCGUAAAGGGUUCGCAGGUGGCCUUUUAAGUCAGAUGUGAAAGAUCACAGCUCAACUGUGGUAAGCAUUUGAAACUGAAAGGCUUGAGUUAAGGAGAGGAAAGUGGAAUUCCUAGUGUAGCGGUGAAAUGCGUAGAUAUUAGGAGGAAUACCAGUGGCGAAGGCGACUUUCUGGACUUAUACUGACACUGAGGAACGAAAGCGUGGGGAGCAAACAGGAUUAGAUA